AUGAAAAGGGCUCACCUGAAACCCCCUUUCUGGUAACGAAUCACAAAAUCAGAUGUGGCUCACAGUUUCUUGUUCUCAGCACUAAAUCAAUUGGGCUUUCCCAUGAAUGGACAUGAUCAAUGGUCAACAGCUUUGAUGGUCUAGGCCACUUCUCACCUUACAAAUGUUACUGUGGAUGAAUGUUUUCAUAAAAAAAAAAAAAAAAAAAAAAACACUGAAAUUACUGGGA